UGAGAAAACCAAAAUCAUCGUCAAGAUCC
rnacentral:piRNA from 1 species